UGUAAAGUAGAUCCUUUCAGUUCCUAACAUACAGUAGUAGAAGUAAUUUUACUCGCACCAAGUUAAUGUGUGCAUGUUUGCGGGAUUCUAUAAGCAGUAGUAAUUACACUGACAUGAAGUUUUCGUAACCAAAUGUUAGCUAACUACCGCUAUUUUCUGGAGAUUAUUACUGACGUGAGCUUGUAACUAAGGCAACGACGAAUGACGUGACUCGCGGGAGAAGUUAAACGACGCUGAAAGAAGGAGCUGCCUAACAACUGUGGACUGCUCAACCACUGACUUUACCUGCGGAACAUGGAGAGACUUAAUGUAGGAAAAGAAAGGCUUGUCGUACCGACUGACUUCACCUCACCAACAGUUCAAAGGAAUGUCCAGGAGGACCUUGUACCCCCAUCCCAUUUUGCAUCUAGUGUGCAGUCUGCUGGAGCACAAAGAGGUUUUCCAACCUCCUGGAUAAACCCUGGUGUAACCUCAGUACCAUCAGGAGAUCCCAGUCCUGCCAAUCCAUGGCUCGCCAUCACUCAGGCCCAACAGGAAAUCUUGGAAUUGAGGAAGGAAAAUCAGCGGAUUAUGAUGUUGCAUGAAAACGGCAUUAGAGGAAAGAUUGUGGAUCAUCCAUCAGAACUGAGGCCAAGAUCUGUAGAGAGAAGUGAGCAAUGGUGCAGACGGGAUUCAAAGUGGCAUCUAGAGGAAGAGAAGCAGAAGGCUGAAGCUGAGAGAUUGAAGGGGCAGGUGGAGGCUCUGAAGGAGAGCGAAGGAAGAAACCGAGAAGAGAUUAGAGACAAAGACAGCAUCUUGAACAGACGGAACCUUGAAUUGGAAACCAUGCAUGAAGAGCUAUCUAAGGCGAAGGCUGAACUCAGCCAAAUCAGAGACAGGCUCGUUCACAGCAGUGCGCAGGAGGAGAAAAUGAGCUCAGAGCUUGAAAGACUUAAAUCCAAGUCUAGUGAGGAAGUUUCAAGGCUGAGAAGAGACGCAGACAGGAGGGAAGCAGAGACACAGGCACUCGUCCUGAGGGCUGAAAUGGGCAAAUCCCAGGCUGAGGAGGAGGCCAAACAGAAGACACUGCAGCUGUCAGAACAUUUGGAGGAAAUGCAGAGGAAGCAUGAGGAGGAGCUGCAGCGCUUGAAUGCUUCCCACACUGCAGAGUUAGCUUCUGCCCGAAAAACCAAUGAUGAACUGCAGGACAGAUUUCAAUCAAUGACCUCAGAGGUGCUGCAGCUGAAAAACACUCUGAUGGAGGUAUCAGCUGAGAGAGAUGGGCUUAAAGAACAUUUCAGCCAAAUGGGACAAGCUUUUGAAACACAAUCUGCAACACUGCAAAGCCUGAGAAAUUACAUCGGCCAGUUCUCCCCAGAGAAACAAGAGAAGGAGAAAUUAAAUGAAGCUGUUGAGAGGCUGAACAAGGAGAAGGCAGCUCUUCAGAUGACUGCAGAGCUUUUGACAAUCAGACUAAACUCUGUUAAUGAGAUACUCGCCCUCCAGGAAGAGAAAAUGGUGAUGAAGAAUUCUAUAGACUCACAUAGUAUGAAGAAUGGACGUGAAGGCAUUCAAGUGAUAAAGCUGUGGAGAGAGAAAGUCUUCAAGUUAUGUGUUCAGCUUCGCUCAAAGGACAUCGAAUUAAGAAGAGAAAGAGAAGAACUUCUUUCAAAGAUUGGAUCCUUGGAGCAGCAGCUCCAGCAGGAGCAGCACCGGGCCACUGUCCUCCAACACACUCUAGACGACAGGAUAGCUGAGCUGGACCUGGAGAGAGUGGAAAAGGAGACGUUGAAACAGGACAUGGCCCAUGCUCACAAGGAGAAUUCUCAUCUACAGUUGCAGUGCCAGAAAUGUGAGACUGAAAGUAAAAUCCUGACAGAGGCAGUGCACAGAUUUAGGCUGGCAUUUGAAGGCAAGAUGGCAGAAGUGGAUGCAGCUCAAACAAGGCUCAACACUUUUACCCAGAGGCUUAUGUUCGCUAAAAGACGAGUGGAGACGAUCCAAGGUUUGAUCAUGAGGAGAGUGGCUUUGCAGAAAAUUCAGCAGGCCAGUAAACAGUCAGAACAGACUGCUGACAGCCUGACAAGCCUCCAGACACAGCUUAGUUUGGUGUGUGAAGAGAGAGACAAGCUCGCACAGGAGCUCAGAAGAACCCCAGAGCUCGUUGAGAAAGCUUUGGCUGAUCUGAAAGAACAGUAUGAAAGCAAAUGGCGGCGGCAGCAGCAGGAGCUGGAGCAGAGCUGGGCAGAAGUUCGACAGGCUGCGGCCGAGAAAGACAAGGCCGAGCACAGCCUGCAGCAUAUCCAAGCCCAGCUGGAGGAGAGCAAGGUCAACCUGGAGAAACUCCGCUCUGAGCUGCUUAUACAGCAGGAGCACAGUGAGCAGGUCUUGCAGCAGAGGGUGUCUGAGACUGAGGACCGCUGUGUCGAGAAGCUGAGAGAGAUGGAAGUUCAAGUCUGUACGGCCAGGAGAGAGCACACCAAAGCAGUGAUGACAUUGCGGCAGUUUGAGAGAGAUGCAGCAAGGAAACAGGAUGGAAUGAGAGAGACUCCGACUUCUGGGGUUUCACACACAAAGAGGAGAGUUCAAAAUACACAACUAAGGAAGGUGGACAAGGACAAAAACCUGCCUCCUGUCACUGCUGCUGAGCGAGAGCUGGCGAGAGUCUAUACAGGUGUUCACGAUGCAGAAACUUCACAAAAGUUUGCUGCUCAUAGAGAAAAACAAAAAGCUCCAGAGAGGAGCAGCUCUGUGCAGGCAGGAGUCCAACUACCUGCAGAUGAGAGACUCCUGUCUGUUUUGGAGGAGCUUCACACGCUCAGUGUCGCAGUGGUGCACAGCUCUGAGGACUCUGCCGAGGAGGAGGAGGUGGAGGGAGAGAAUAACAGCACGGGCCCAUCCAUAGGCAGUCUGCACCACUGAUACCUGAAGCUGAGUCACAGGAGACAGUGGAAACGUCUUCAUUUGUACAAAAGGCUGGGGGUCAGAGGUGACUUGGAUCUGUGUCUGAGGUUGAUGUGAUCCAGUAAGACAGUGUUGGCGUCGUGGCAACCACCAUUUCUCCACGCUGCAGCAGAGCCCGGUGGAUGGAUGUGCACUGCGGUGGCAGGCCGUGCUACAGGCUGGAACAGCAGUCACGGAGGAGCAGUGCAAGGAAAUGCAGCCAAGUAAACCCUAUUUAUAGAUGCAGGCAAUGUGGAGCAUUGUUUAAGCGGGGAUUGCAGUGCUUUCAGAGUAGUGGCCGUGAAUGAGGAAGACGUGUAUUUUAUUCAUUCAGUCUUUCUUGACAUCUCUACAGUAAACAUGUCAUUGACUGUGCGCUCUUUAAACAAUUCUGACAGUUAUCAUUAAGUCAUUAUUGUAUUUUAAGGUUUGGUGUGUAAUAUUUAAAAUGUGUUACUGGCAUAAAUUGAAUAUACUUUUGUACUAAACUACAGAAACCCUGUGCUGAACUGUUUCUACAGUAGGACCAGGCAGAGCAUGCGUUCCAUGUUUAGAAGCAGAAGUAAGCGACACUUUCACAUGAAACAAUUUCAAACUGCACAGGCUGCAAAUAGAUGUUUCCAGUUUGGACUGGCCUUUGUUGUGCAAUUAAAUAAUUUCCAUCACAUUCUAGUACACAGAGAUUAUUAAACUGAAAAAACAAACUUGAUUAACAUUUAAUAUAUACAUAUAAUCUAGUGUGCAUGCAUUGUAUUCACAUUGGAGGAAGUCAUGUAUGUGAAGCCAUCUUUUUUUUUCCUCCGCAUUUUAGAUCAGACUUGGACAAUAAGUCUGAUUUAUACUGAAUCAUGGUUUCUUUUCAGAGGGGCAAUGGUAAACAUGUUGUUUUCCAUGCAUGACGACGUCUCCCCCUGUGCCAAUCAGUCACCCUGUAUGAAGCUGUGAUUGCAAUUUUGAAUGCAGUGCUGAGUUGUCGUCAGUGCUUAUACAAGGUGUGUGAAUGAAUGAACGAACGGUGUAAAGAAUACCCUUCAUUUGUAAUUACCACAGUGCAGCUGACUCACAAAAAAGGUUAUUGGCCUCCAUGUGUGAUUAACCUGCUCAGGAUUCUAUCUGCAUCUCUGAUAGUGUCACAGAUGACUCUGAUUCAUCAGUUCACUGUUGGCAGUUAAUGUGCUUCGAUACAUAUAUGCAUAUAAUGCAUGUGCUUUAAUCAGUUGGCACAGUAGAGCACUGGAAUGAAUAUCAAAUAUCC